GAUGAACGCUGGCGGCGUGCUUAAUACAUGCAAGUCGAGCGAACGGACGAGAAUCUUGUUUCUCUGAUGUGAGCCGCUGGCGGGUGAGUAACGCGUGGAUAACCUACCUAUAAGUCUGGUAUAUCUUCGGGAAACCGGAGCUAAGCCCGGAUAAUAUUUUGAACCGCAUGGUUCAAACGUGAAAUACGGUCUUGCUGUCACUUAUAGAUGGAUACGCGCUGCAUUAGCUAGUUGGUAAGGUAACGGCUUACCAAGGCAACGAUGCAUAGCCGACCUGAGAGAGUGGUCGGCCACACGAGAGCUGAGACGGGGUCCAGACUCCUGCGGGAGGCCGCAGUAGGGAAUCUUCCGCAAUGGGGGAAAGCCUGACGGAGCAACGCGGCGUGAGUGAUGAAGGUCUUCGGAUCGUAAAACUCUGUUAUUAGGGGAGAACAGAUGUGUAAGUAACUGUGCAGAUAUUGACGGUACCUAAUCAGAAAGCAACGGCUAACUACGUG
rnacentral:rRNA from 1 species